rnacentral:rRNA from 1 species
UACGUAGGGUGCAAGCGUUGUCCGGAAUUAUUGGGCGUAAGGAGCUCGUAGGCGGUCUGUUGAGUCGGCUGUGAAAACCCGAGGCUCAACCUCGGGCCUGCAGCCGAUACGGGCAGACUAGAGUUCGGCAGGGGAGACUGGAAUUCCUGGUGUAGCGGUGAAAUGCGCAGAUAUCAGGAGAAACACCUGCGGCGAAGGCGGGUUGCUGGGCUGACACUGACGCUGAGGCGCGAAAGCUAGGGGAGCGAACGGG